rnacentral:rRNA from 1 species
UAGUAACGGCGAGUGAAGCGGCAACAGCUCAAAUUUGAAAUCUGGCCCUCGGGUCCGAAUUGUAAUUUGUAGAGGAUGAUUUUGGUGCGGUAUCUUCCGAGUUCCUUGGAACAGGACGCCUUAGAGGGUGAGAGCCCCGUACGGUUGAAUGCCUAGCCUCUGUAAAUCUCCUUCGACGAGUCGAGUAGUUUGGGAAUGCUGCUCUAAAUGGGAGGUAAAUUUCUUCUAAAGCUAAAUAUUGGCCAGAGACCGAUAGCGCACAAGUAGAGUGAUCGAAAGAUGAAAAGCACUUUGAAAAGAGGGUUAAAUAGCACGUGAAAUUGUUGAAAGGGAAGGAUUUGUGACCAGACUUUUUCUGGGCGGAUCAUCCGGGGUUCUCUCCGGUGCACUUUGCCCAGUAAAGGCCAGCAUCGAUUUUCGGCGGCGGAUAAAAGCAGUGGGAAUGUGGCUCCCUACGGGGAGUGUUAUAGCCCAUUGUAUAAUACGCUGCUGGGGAUCGAGGUACGCGCUUCUGCAAGGAUGCUGGCGUAAUGGUUAUCAAUCACCCGUCUUGAAACACGGACCAAGGAGUCGAACAUUUAUGCGAGUGUUUGGGUGUUAAACCCUCACGCGUAAUGAAAGUGAACGGAGGUGAGAGCCCGUACGGGUGCAUCAUCGACCGAUCCUGAAGUUUUCGGAUGGAUUUGAGUAAGAGCAUAACUGUUCGGACCCGAAAGAUGGUGAACUAUGCGUGGAUAGGGUGAAGCCAGAGGAAACUCUGGUGGAGGCUCGCAGCGGUUCUGACGUGCAAAUCGAUCGUCAAAUCUGCGCAU